UACGUAGGGGGCUAGCGUUGUCCGGAAUCAUUGGGCGUAAAGCGCGUGUAGGCGGCUCGAUAAGUCUGUUGUGAAAGCCCAGGGCUCAACCCUGGAAUGCCGAUGGAUACUGUCGAGCUAGAGUCCGGAAGAGGCGAGUGGAAUUCCUGGUGUAGCGGUGAAAUGCGCAGAUAUCAAGGAGGAACACCGGUGGCGAAGGCGGGAAUCUCUGGCCCGAUACUGACGCUGAGGCACGAAAGCGUGGGGAGCAAACAGGAUAGAUACCC
rnacentral:rRNA from 1 species